AUAUUUCAAGUCCGGAUAAAAUACCUGUGAAGUCCACAUUUGUUGAAGUCGUCUUAACAACACUUUUGAAGUCCGGAGAAAAUUUCCCAAAUCUUUGUCUCAAUUGACCAUAAAUGUUGAAAUUUUCCAUCAAAUCUGCAUAAAUUUAUGGUGUUUUCAGUUAUUUAUCCUCAAUUUCGAAAGGAAUGUUUUGUGCCUUUUUCAAUUUUAGAGUUAGGGUUUUUUGCAUGAUAGGAUUUUAGAGUUAGGGUUUUCAAUCUAGAGUCGUUUUCAGUUUUUAAUAGAGUUUUCAUCAGCUGAUAUUACUUUUUCUCACAGAUUAUGGGUCAUAUUAUUGCAUUUUUUCAUCAUGAAGGUCGCUUUUACAAGGGUCGGUACCUAAUGUUUUGUUUGAAAUAGACAAGGACCAUUUUUCUUUGACUGAAUUGAAGUCUUUUGCAAAUGACAUUGGGUAUGAGGAAGUUGGAGCCUUUUAUGUUGAAGAUCCUGCCACCUAUAGAUUUGUCAAGUUGGAAAGCGACAACCAGCUAUAUAAUUGUGUUAAAGAAUUACGGAGUGGUUCAACUUUUAAGUUAUUUUUAAAGCAUGUGCCUAUUUUUAGAUGUGCCUCUAGGGCUUCACAUCUAAAAAAGCUUAUAAAUGAGGCGGCUGGUUCUGAGCAAGUGCCUCAAGAGGAAAAUAAUGACUUCAAUGAGUUUGAAGAGAAACUUUGAUUGCAUUCCUGAGGAAGAUGAUAGUGAAAUUGAUGAUGAAUUGAGAGGUUUUAGAGAAAAUCUAAGACAACAAAAGAAAAGUGAAGCUUCAAAGCCAAAAAAAAAAAGAAGAGAAAAGAUCUUCCAAGUAUCAAGAGGUUGAGCUCGGAGAAGCUGGCAUAGAUAAAGGAUUUGAAGACAUUUUCAGGGACAAAACAGUCUGGUACAGUGGUAGAUUGGGUGGCGAUGAAGAGUUCAUUGGUUCAUCGGAUGAACCAAUUGAAGAUAGUGAUGAAGAGUUAGACGUUUUAGCACAACCAGGUGUUGAUUUACCAUCAAGAAGAAAAAGCAGAAAAUCGAGGUAUGAUGAUUCUUCUGCCAUUACCUUUUUUGAGUUGGGUAUGAUAUUUGAAAAUGCAAAAGGGUUUUAAAAAGCUAUAGCUGAUUAUGCUGUCCAAGAGAAGGUUCAAUUGAAGAUAAAACCCAAUGAACCCAACAGAAUAAGGGUAAGAUGUGUAGGAAAGUGUGUAGGAAGGUGUGCUUGACAAAUUUUUGCAAGUUUGGAUAAAAGAACAGGAAAUUUUUCUGUAAAGAAAUAUUAUCCUGUUCAUAAAUGUGUUACAAAGAACAAGAAUAAGUUAUGCUCAGCUAAAUAUGUGGAGAGGAAGAUGAGGGACAGAAUAAUAUCUCAUCCCGACAUUCGCGUUUAUAAGCUUCAAGAGAUACUAAAAAUUGAAUGGGGAUUACAUGUAGGGAGAUCAAUAUGUUACAAGGCAAAAUUCAAUGUUAUUAGCAAGUUCAUGGGUGACUGGAAGCUUGAGUUUUCAAAGUUAUUAGAUUAUGCAGAUAUGAUUAAGAGGUCAAAUCCAGGGACUUCUUGUUGGGUAAGAUCUGAUAAUGAAACUGUACCGGGCAAACACAUACUCAAAUACUUCUAUGUUUGUUUUGCCGCAUUAAAGAAUGGAUGGCUAGAAGGUUGUAGGAAGAUCAUUGGGUUGGAUGGAUACUUUCUAAAGGGUGCUUGUAAAGGAGAAUUGUUAGUGGCAGUUGGAAAAAAUGGAAACCAACAAAUGUAUCCAAUAGCUUGGGCAGUGGUUGAUCAAGAAACUAAACACUCUUGGAGUUGGUUCUUAAGUUAUCUCAUUCAAGAUUUGCAACUUGGUGAUGGAGAUGGAAUAACAAUCAUGUCGGACAUGCAAAAGGGUCUGGAAUCAGCUGUUAGGGAAUUACUUUCUAGAGUAGAAAGGAGAAUGUGUGCAAGGCAUAUUUGGACAAAUUGACAAAAAAUUUGGAAAGGUGAAGAAAGGAGGAAAGCAUUUUGGAGGUGUGCUAAAGCUAGUUUUGAGGUAAAAUUGAGAGAAGAUUUUCAGUAUUUGAGCACACUUGGUAAGAAAAUAUGUGAGUCUUUGCUUAUAUUUGAUAAAGAAUAUUGGUGUAGGACUUAUUUUAGUGAAAGAAUCAAGUGUGAUGGAGGGGAAAAUAAUGUGUAAAACAUUUAAUUCUUGGAUUGUUGGUCCUAGACAUAAGUCUGUGAUUAGUAUGCUUGAGGAUAUUAGGCAUAAAAUAAUAGAUAGGCAUGGAGAUAUGGUCAAAUUUGCAGAUACUUGGAUCAGUGAUAUUUCACCCAUGGCAAGGCUAGUUUUAGAAGAUAAUAAAGAGAUUGGUAGGAAGCUAAAGGUGAAUUGGAAUCAUGACACUGGAUUUGAGAUUCAAGAUGGAGGGCUUAUAGGCACAUAAUUGAUUUGGUUAAGAAAACAUGUACCUGCAGGUUGUGGUAAUUGAGGAAUAUACCUUGCAAACAUGUAGUUUGUGCCUUGUAUCAUAUUGGGCAUGAACUGGAAAAUUACGUGGAGCAUUGGUAUAGAAGAGAUACAUUCCUACGUGCUUAUAAGUACUCAUACAACCUAUCUCUAACAUGAUAAUGUGGCCUAAAAGUAACAAUCCAUUCAUUGAGCCACCUGAAAUUAAGCCAAUGCCGGGAAGACCUUCAAGAAAUAGAAAAAAAGCAAAAGAUGAACCAAGAAAGAAAAAAUGGGGGAAAGAAUAAAAAAAGGGAGUAAAAAUGACAUGUUCCAAAUGUCAUCAGGUUGGGCAUAAAAGAAGAAGCUGCAAAACAGUGAAGUCUUCACAAUCAAGGUCAAUGGGUCAGCCUAGUACUCAAAAUUUUUCAUCUCUAUGUCCUGAAACUUCAAGAGUUAAGGGAAGUAAAAAGCAGGCAGCUUCAACUACAAGGGAAACAUUUUCUUCAGUUGGAAGGAAAAGAAUAAGAGAUGUGGGGUUCGGUGUUUACGCAGACACACAAUCUGGAAGACAAGUCCUUAAUAAGAUCGAGUGAAAGAGCUAUUUCAAGUAGCACGACACUAAAAGAUGCAUCACUGACAAAUAUUGAUUUGGGGUUCAAGCCACCUCCUUUGAAAUGGAAAGGAAAAGAUGCAGUGACUGGAAAUCAACUUCAACAUAUGCAACAACGUAAAAAGCUGAAAAUCAGAUCCUAGAGUCGUCGUGUUAAAUUGGACUGCUUCUUUUUGUUUUUGAUGUAAAUUUUGUGAAGGCCUUUUGUGAAUGUUAAUUUAAAGUCAUAUGUCAAACAAUUAAAGUGUUGGUUAUUUUGAUGUAGGCAGCCUUUGAUGUAGAUAUGUUUGUUUUGUCUUCAAACAAAUUUUUUGAUUGGCUGGCCUUUUAGCUAAUUAAAGUGGUGACUUUUUAUUAUUCA